GAAGCUCGAGUCAGUGUUCGGUUACCUACUCACUCUUCUGGUCUUUCUUUGCGAAGGAGAUUUGAGAAAGUCCAUGCAUGGGAGCAGGACAAAGAGAAAUAAUCUGAUCAUCCCUAAGAGGUUUCAAGAAUGAGCAAUUGCGUAAAGCUGAGUCCUGG
ensembl:lncRNA novel transcript